UAGGGAAUCUUCCACAAUGGACGCAAGUCUGAUGGAGCAACGCCGCGUGAGUGAAGAAGGUUUUCGGAUCGUAAAGCUCUGUUGUUGGUGAAGAAGGAUAGAGGUAGUAACUGGCCUUUAUUUGACGGUAAUCAACCAGAAAGUCACGGCUAACUACGUGCCAGCAGCCGCGGUAAUACGUAGGUGGCAAGCGUUGUCCGGAUUUAUUGGGCGUAAAGCGAGCGGAGGCGGAAUAAUAAGUCUGGUGUGAAAGCCCUCGGCUUAACCGAGGAACUGCGUCGGAAACUGUUUUUCUUGAGUGCAGAAGAGGAGAGUGGAAUUCCAGGUGUAGCGGUGGAAUGCGUAGAUAUAUGGAAGAAAACCAGUGGCGAAGGCGACUCUCUGGUCUGCAACUGACGCUGAGGCUCGAAAGCAUGGGUAGCGAACAGG
rnacentral:rRNA from 1 species